CAAACCACGAGAUCGUGACCUGAGUUGAAGUCGAACGCUUAACCAACUGAGCCCCCCAGUGUUUUUGGUCAGGUCUGCUCCAGGGGUGACCCGUGGCUGCUCAGCCAGACCAGCCUCAGGCGGGCAGAAGUCUCGAAUUGCCUAACAGGGGCUAUUGUGUCAGCUAGAUAUCGAGUGCACGUGGAACAUCAGCGAAUCCAAAAGCGAUGGUUUCAAGAAGCUAAUGCAAUUGAUUACAUUAAUCUGAUUUCAUCCAUCAUCAUCUGAUGAUUGCGAGGGGGAUGCUGGAGGUUGGUCCAGGGGCCCGCGAACGCCGGCGUUGAGUUUCCUGCACUUUUCCCGGUCUUUUCUCCUUGGGCAUCUAUGGUUACAGACACAGGGAGCAUUGAACCUACUUCCAGACACGGAGGAGAACAGACAGGACAGAAAGAAUCACCAGUUGAGUCACGAGCCUGAGUGUUUUUAAUGGGAUUUCUCAGAGGCCCCAGCCAAUGACUCACUCCCAGGUGACUGGCGAGAACUGUGACAGGACCAUUUCUAGAGGACUUUCUGCCAGUAGGUUUGUUUUAUGGUGGACACAUGGCCACCCAAAUAAAAUCAGUCUUCCGUUAGUUAAGAAGGAGGAAAGAAGGGAUAUGGAGAAGAGAAACCGCCGUUUCUGACACGGGUAUGAAUAAAUAAACAAGCCCGGCUUUCCUCGUGCCAUCUCAAUGCUUCAUAAUAAAAAAUUUAGCAUUUACAUAGCACUUUAAACCUUUUCAAGUGAUUUCAUAUCUGUUUCCAUAGUUUUAUAUUAGUUUGCUACAUUUUUCUACUAAAUCACUGGGAAUAUUUGUCACUUCCUAUAAGAACCGGCAUUUUCAUUCCAAUGAUUAAUGAUGUGGUUUUAUGUAUUUCUCCUUGUUAUUCAUAUAAUUUCUUUAACCCAAUUUCCUUCUGAUAGUUUUUCCAUUGCUAGGCUAGAUAUUAAUUUGACAAAAUUUGCUAAAGCCUCUUACAAACGCCAUAGAUCCCAUUAGGAAGUCAUUAUUCAAGACACAAAACAGAAUGCAUCGUACAGAGCUUUUAACAGAGUCGGUAAGCCGGAGGUGAUGGCUGGGGGUUUUUGCUCCAAAUGGGGGGCGGGCCGCAAUUACCUUGGCUGCCCACCACUUCGGGCAAGUGCCAGCACAAUUUAUCGCCAGGUAGAGAAGUCCCUGUCACGGAAAACGGGCACCAAGUGAAAAAGGCAGGAGGGCACCCUUUUCCUUGAUGUCUUUGGAACGAAGCCCUCGAGGCGGUAUCCGCGUGUGUUUCUAUUUCUUUCUCCCUGUCCUCUUGUCUCCCGCGCUUCUAACAGAACCGUCAGCAAGUGACGACUGCGGGAGAAACGUGAACACCGAUCAGGCAGUUCCACCGCGUGUCGGUAGCUCUCACCCUCCCUGGGCGCCGGGUCUCGGCCGUGCCUCCCGGCGCGCUGUCCCCGUACUGUCCCCAUGGCUCGUCUGUGCAGGGGCUGUGCGUCCCCAGUUCGUGUGCCAUAUGUGACCUUCUUCAGAGGCGACGGCCACGGCAGACGCAUCACCAGUGCCUGCCACUCCCACGACCUAAGUCCACGCUUCUCUCAACCUUAGACUCUCUUUCCAAGUCUGAAAUACAACCGGUUGUUGUAGUUCUGUUGCGUUUUUAUGGGCUCUUUUACGUAAAACGCCUGGAGUUUUGAUCCCCUACUUUCCUUGCAGCUCCACUUUGCGUGCGUUUUCCUCCCUCGGAAAUGCCGCCUCGGAGAUAAUUCUUGUUUCCAUUAGAAACAACACACGUGGAACUGCAGGGUUGGUCUACUUCCAACGACUGGUCUCGUUCCUUCCCUUGGGAACGAGGCCCCAGCUGGGAGUCUUGCCCGCCUUUGCUGCACCAGCCUGGGAGACACAGAAACGAAGAACUCUUCCCAGUGCAAUGGAACCAGCAGUCCUAGAGCAAAGCUGCAGAUCUUGUCUAUUCUACGACCUUAGACUCAGCGCACGUGACUUGGCUUUUCUUCCUCCCCACCCCCACCCCCAGUCUCAAGCAGACACAAGGGGCACUUGCCAGACGAUCUCUGGUUUCCUGGGUCUCUGCCCCUCAGGCUAACCAGAGUCCGGCCGGAUCGGAGUGAGCCUGGCAGGGAAUUAAGAAGCGGGUGCCGGCUGACGACCCCGGCCAAGCUGAGGACCCUGGCUGUCCAAACCUUCGCCCAGGCAGGAAGUCCCCACCUUCUCCUUUGUAGCCCACAUUACCCUGUUCAUUUUUUCACAACACUCCGGUAAUUCGUCACAUCUACCUGAUUAUGUUUGUCUGGGUUUAUUGUGUUGCAACGAUUUUGGGGUCAGGAACUGUAUUUUAUUCUCCACGUCACUUGGGCACGGUACGGGGCCAACAAUAAUAGUCAUUAAUUGAACUAAUCGGCGGUAGUUAUUUACUUGUUAAUAUGAUGUUUGUUAUUUGUGGUUAUUUGUUAAUAUCAUACUCCAGUGAGAACCAGAUAUUGUAAAAUGAAUGCGAUUCCACGUAACAGAGGCCCCUUUCCUUUGUUCCGUGUUAUUAGAUGAUGAACUUUGCUUGGUAAGAUACACAUUUUUCCCUGAAGUCUUCCUUUUCUCCUCAAAUUACAUUUGAGAGGAGGGUAGAAUUGGAAAUGCAAAUUUUUUCUAACAACACGCUUCCUAACUUACGGGAUUCGUGUGAUCUCAGUAAGUAAUGCCCCUCUUUUCCUCUAUGGUGUGGGAUGAGUUAAAAGACAGUCAAAAGAGUCAGUUAGAAUUCAGCUGUCACCUUCACGCCUGGGGGUCUGCAUUGGAGGCGGUCUAUUCGAGGCACAGUCAUCCUGGACUUGCAGCCACAUGAGGCCAGCGUCAGAGUGCCGUCUACACAGGCGACGGUAGGAGCCGGACAGAACCCUGGUGGCCUGCAGACAUGCUGGGGGGCUGCUCUCAGAGGGGGUGCCGUCAACUCACCUACUGUCAGGUGAUCUUCUGACUCUUCAUGCUCAACUCCUUCCUCCGCGCCAAACACAGUCAUGUCCCCCAUCAGACGUGUUAAGUUGACAUCCGACAUUUUUCACUGAAAUUUUAAAUAGCUACAAAACACGUAAUUUUGGGCAUAUUGGAACUGGUGACAUCGUAAUAAUAAAAUCGAUACCGAACUUUUUGACAUACAUCCAGGAGCUUCUAACUGCAGCGACUUUAUGCUAACCAUUAUCUAUUUAAAAAUACAUGAGCCGUUACGAGUCUCGGGGUACAGUGAAGCAUCAGACAUGUAUGUUAGCACACGCGUGAGUGUUCUUAUAUGUACCUAUGCAGGUGUGUCUAUAUGUGUCCGAGCGAAUUCUGCUUUAACACGGGGACAUUUUUAUACACUUUCAUUUUUCCCUUGACUUAACACUUCAGUUCCACAGAAUUUCAUCCUAAGCUAUGUUUCUGUUUGAAAUGAUCAAUUAGUACAUAAUAUACACGUUUGUCCGUAUAGAAAUUCAGUGAUUUCCUGUGACCAUAGGACUUUAAGUAGCAAUACUUGUCUUCGAACCCAUGUAUGUAUUGAUUUAUUAUUAAUACGCAAUUCAUCAAAAUAUAAAUACAUUAGGAGUUUGAUGAUCCUAUGACAAAAUAUCAAGUGCUACUGGAAAGCAGUCUUUUCAUGAAACAGACGGAACUCUUUGCCAGUUAGUUUUAUACAUCUACUUUCUGUUGUCCUUAGCCAAGGUUCAUAUAAAGUCUAUUCAAUAUUUUUUUCAAUUUUCACAGAUGCAAGACCUCGGAUUCAUUGCUCUCAACUCAUGAAUAAGAAGGCAGAGUUGUGAGGAGUCCAGGAUGGUGAUGUUGCUUUUUUCUCAGAACUUUCGAAGAUUCCAACAUAUCGUAUUAUCAUCAGAAUGUGUUGUUAACGAUGCAAAUCAGCUGACAGAUGCAUUACAAUUUGGAUUUAUCAAAAACAAAGACUGAAAUCUGGCUGUGACUCAGUGAAAAGAGGUAUCACUCAUUCAUAAAAGUUCUUCCCUUUUUCAAAAUCUGAAAGGUGUAGUUACGAAAAAGAUGUUUUUCCCCAAGAUUAAUCAAACAACUGUUGUUGUUGUAUGAUGGUUAAAGGCACCUCAUUUAAUCCAAAAGUGUCUGCAGGGCUUGCAAACAUCUAAAUAUUGGCCUGGCGGGCAGUUGUCCUGAGGGUGUCAAUUCCUGCAUCACUCUUAUAAUCCAAGCCCUUGGGUCACCGCCUCCUCUAUGCCGACCGUGAGCUUGGCACGUGACUUGUCUUGGCCAACAGGACAAUAGCAAAUGUGACACAAGAGAGACUUGAAAUGUCCUUCGCAUGGGGACGUGCUCGCCCUGGUACUCCAGGAACCCCCCUGCCAUGUGAUCGGAGGCUAGUCUCCCCUGUUGGGUGCCCGUGACCCGGCGGCCAGCAAAGCCAUCACCAGGCAAGACAGCGCGCCUCUCAGAGCCCCGCCGGCACGGCCAGCCGGAUGCGGAUGCGUCCACCAGGGCAGACCAGAUAGACCCGUCCCGGCUCAGGUCGGCAGAGCCAUCCAGCUGCCAGUUGACUGGUGAGCAGCUGUAAAUGGGUGUUGAUAUGACCCUGACAUUUGGGCUGGUUUGUCACACACAACAGCCUGUAACUGAUAAAAACUAUGAGUGAUAAAAGUGUUAAUUUCAACACAUUUUGCCACGACUUCUUCAUAACAUGUCCUCACGGACUGUUCGUAUUGGCUACUUCCAUCAGCUGCCCGCCUUCCUUUUAGUCAAGCCUGUUUCCGUGUCCAUCUCAAUCAGCAAAGUGAGUGUCGUUCUGUGAAUAAAAGUCCGAUUCUCAUUUUUCAAUUUAGGAAAAUGUCUUCAGUACGCAUCACCAACUACAGCUCGUUAGAUAAAUUACAAAACAAGCCAGUAUUUAAAUUUUCUACACGUAACAUGAUUGAUUUAUGUUUUAAAGGAGUCCUUAAAAGAAGAGUCCAUGCAGUUAUUCUUUGCUUAAUUUUUAAUUGUGAAAUAUACUCUGUAGCUAUAAUUUUAACUGUUAAUAAAAGGAAAGAAUGAGAUAAAUGCACGAUAUUCUUUGAUAAAGGCGCAUGUGUGUGUACGAAGUAACGGUGUUCAGAUUUUGGAUAUUGUUAAAUGACCUUAAAUUUUAAAAAUUCAUAACUAAGUCUAUGG